GUUUUCGAGAGCUAUAGAAUCAAAAUCUGCAUUCUGCAGUUUUGAGCUCUCGGGGACCGGUCCCUGGUGGGAGAGACCGGUCCCCGAACGCGUAUGAAAUGAGACAGCCGAAAAAUCGGCUAAGUCCUGAGAAAUUAGCUCUCGGGAACCGGUCCCUGCCUAAGAGACCAGUCCCCGAGAGACCGGUCCCCCAAAGAGAGACCGGUUGCCCUGCGCGCAACAGCUCUGGCUGCGCGGGGAGAGCCUUCGGGAACCGGUCCCUGAAGGAGAGACCGGUCCCCGCCUGCGCGAACUGCCCAGUUCGGGCAGUGUAUUAAAGUGAAAGUUGAGGGGUUUAUUUGCAAUUAUGCAACCCAAUAGCUAUGUUAUGAGGGCUAAUGAGAUUUUCUCUCAUUCUCACCCUCUCAAACACUCUCUUCUCUCCCUCUCUCUCUCUAGAAGACAAAGGAGAAGAAGAAGAAAGGAAGAAAAGAAGGAAAAGAAGGAGAAGGAAGUGAAGAAAAAGAUCAAAGAGCCAAAGGAGCUUCAUCUUCUUCCUCUCUAGUGCAAGUUAGGGCAAGCUUUGAGGUAAGCUUUGCCCCUUUUCAUGAUUACUCCCAAACUAGGGUUUGGGUAGACCUAGAAUUGAUUUUUAUGGAGCUUUUAGAGUCUUUUGAAGCUUUCUUUUGCUUCUUUAGAGAUCAAAUCCAUGGUUGAGCUCAAGGUGAGCUUCAACCCACCUCUAAUGGUGAAAUCCAAACUAGGGUUUGGAGUGAGCUAAGAAUGGUUCUAAUAGAUUAUUUAGAGUAUAAUGAAGCUACUUUUGCUUCUCUUAGAGAUCAAACCCUAGGUUUGAUACAUGUGUUAGAGGUAGGGCACCAAAUUGGGGCUUUUGCUCAUGAGGGUUUCUAAGUGCAAUUGACCCUCCGAAAACCUAAUUGGGGGUAUUUCCGACGCGUUGGUGCGCUCGGAAUAGCAUUUCGAAAAGUGUAUGAAAAGUUAUGGGCAAAAUGGCCUAAUAGGGCUUCGUUUUGCCGCAGGUAAAGAACGAGGCAUCUAAAAAUCCUAAGAAAAUCAUCGGAGCACCUAAAGAGACCUACAAGGUGGGUGGUGCUUCUCAAACUCAUUGAAAUUCUCUCUAUGCCUAAUGUGUCAUUCUUUGAGCAUAUGUUAUAUGUAUUGUUGCAUGCAUUUUAGGGUAAAGUAAUGAAAAGAAUGUGAUGAUGCAUGAUUGUGAGUACAACUUGCAUAAUGUGAUGGUUAAGAACCUUAUGAAAGUAAAAACCCUAGAUGUAUGCAUGAGAGAAAAUGUGAGUACCCAAAGUGAGCGAAAGAACAGAGUGGCACACUGACAUAGAUCGAGUGGCAUUUGAAAAUAUAAAGUAAAGAGACACUAGAGUUAGUGUGAUGUAAAGAACCAAAGUGAUGUAAUGAAUAAAGAAUGAUGAUAAUGACAAUAUGUAAAGUUAAAAUAAUGUGGGGCAAUAAGAACGAGAAAAGUAAAGAACAAGAAUGCUAGAGUUAGCAAGAGUAAUGAAAAUGUAAAGAAUGUGAUUGCAUGAGUUUGCAACAUAAAGUGAUGUAAAGAACACUAGAGCUAGUGUAAAGUCAAGAUUGAACUUAUAAAUCCUUUGAGUUAAGGAUAUGAUCAUACUUGCUAUGAGUUCCGUGCUCGAGGGCGGUCGCUCCCCCUCGGGCGAUGCGCUCCGGAGUUAUGCAUC
rnacentral:lncRNA from 1 species